AGUGAACGCUGGCGGUAGGCCUAACACAUGCAAGUCGAACGGCAGCACAGUAAGAGCUUGCUCUUACGGGUGGCGAGUGGCGGACGGGUGAGGAAUACAUCGGAAUCUACUUUUUCGUGGGGGAUAACGUAGGGAAACUUACGCUAAUACCGCAUACGACCUACGGGUGAAAGCAGGGGAUCUUCGGACCUUGCGCGAUUGAAUGAGCCGAUGUCUGAUUAGCUAGUUGGCGGGGUAAAGGCCCACCAAGGCGACGAUCCGUAGCUGGUCUGAGAGGAUGAUCAGCCACACUGGAACUGAGACACGGUACAGACUCCUACGGGAGGCAGCAGUGGGGAAUAUUGGACAAUGGGCGAAAGCCUGAUCCAGCCAUACCGCGUGGGUGAAGAAGGCCUUCGGGUUGUAAAGCCCUUUUGUUGGGAAAGAAAAGCAGCAGGUUAAUACCCCGCUGUUCUGACGGUACCCAAAGAAUAAGCACCGGCUAACUUCGUG
rnacentral:rRNA from 1 species